AUACGGAGGAGGUUAGCGUUGUUCGGAAUUACUGGGCGUAAAGCGUACGUAGGCGGAUCGGAAAGUAAGGGGUGAAAUCCCAGGGCUCAACCCUGGAACUGCCUCUUAAACUCCCGGUCUUGAGUUCGAGAGAGGUGAGUGGAAUUCCUAGUGUAGAGGUGAAAUUCGUAGAUAUUAGGAGGAACACCAGUGGCGAAGGCGGCUCACUGGCUCGAUACUGACGCUGAGGUACGAAAGUGUGGGGAGCAAACAGGAUUAGAUACCCUAGUAGUCC
rnacentral:rRNA from 1 species